UUUGGUGAUGAUGGCGAAGAGGUCACACCCGUUCCCAUUCCGAACACGGAAGUUAAGCUCUUCAGCGCCGAUGGUAGUUGGGACUUUGUCCCUGUGAGAGUAGGACGUUGCCAAGC
rnacentral:rRNA from 1 species